UCGGACACUUUCUUGUGUGUGCGUGUACAAUAUGCGCACAUGUGUAAGUGUCUCAUG
ensembl:miRNA